AAAGAAAGGAGUUUGUCAAGGAUGGAAUUAGAAAGGAAAGGCUGCUGACCCAGGGAAUAAAAAUGCAGAAUGAAGUGUGUGGCUAGUACUACAAUCUCCUCUUCCUGAUUAUUGCAUGUCUGAAUAAAGAUCGUAGACAAAGCCUGCAUCGAGUCCAAUGUGAACACCCUGACUGACCACUGUAAAAAAUGGGGACAUUACAGUGGUGAGAACACUGCCUAGAACACAGUAAG